rnacentral:rRNA from 1 species
GACGAACGCUGGCGGUGUGCUUAACACAUGCAAGUCGAACGGAAAGGCCCUGCUUUUGUGGGGUGCUCGAGUGGCGAACGGGUGAGUAACACGUGAGUAACCUGCCCUUGACUUUGGGAUAACUUCAGGAAACUGGGGCUAAUAUCGGAUAGGAGAUGCUGCUGCAUGGUGGGGGUUGGAAAGUUUCGGCGGUUGGGGUUGGAUUCGCGGCUUAGCAGCUUGUUGGUGGGGUAGUGGCUUACCAAGGCUUUGACGGGUAGCCAGCCUGAGAGUGUGACAGGGUCCAUAGGGAUAGAGGUACCGCCCAUGCGCCUUCUUGAGGCAGGGGUGGAAGACUUAUCACGACAUGCGGAGGCCGGAUGCAAGAACGUCGCGUUCUGGAUCACUGCCUUCGGGUUAGAAACCGCUUUCGCCUGUGACGAAGCGUGAGUACCGGUAAUAAAGAAAGAAGCACCGGCUAACUACUU